rnacentral:rRNA from 1 species
GACGAACGCUGGCGGCGUGCUUAACACAUGCAAGUCGAACGAUGAAGAAGAGAAACGCGAACUUCGGUUCAAAUUUCACUUCGGAUUAGUGGCAGACGGGUGAGUAACGCGUGAGCAACCUACCUCUUACAAAGGGAUAGCCUCGGGAAACCGUGAUUAAUACCAUAUGACACAUUCAUAAGGCAUCUUAAGAAUGUUAAAGCUACGGCGGUAAGAGAUGGGCUCGCGUCCCAUUAGCUAGUUGGUGAGGUAACGGCCCACCAAGGCGACGAUGGGUAACCGGCCUGAGAGGGUGAACGGUCACAUUGGAACUGAGACACGGUCCAAACUUCUACGGGAGGCAGCAGUGGGGAAUAUUGCACAAUGGAGGGAACUCUGAUGCAGCGACGCCGCGUGAGCGAUGAAGGAAUUCGUUUCGUAAAGCUCUGUUCUAUGGGAAGAAAAGGACUGUACCAUAGGAGAAAGCCCCGGCUAAAUACGUG